rnacentral:rRNA from 1 species
AUACGUAGGGGGCGAGCGUUAUCCGGAAUUAUUGGGCGUAAAGAGUACGUAGGUGGUUUCCUAAGCGAGGGGUUUAAGGCACUGGCUUAACCAAUGUUCGCCCCCCGAACUGGGGAACUUGAGUGCUGGAGAGGAAAGCGGAAUUCCUAGUGUAGCGGUGAAAUGCGUAGAUAUUAGGAGGAACACCAGUGGCGAAGGCGGCUUUCUGGACAGUAACUGACACUGAGGUACGAAAGUGUGGGGAGCAAACAGGAUUAGAUACCCUGGUAGUCCACACCGUAAACGAUGAGCACUAGGUGUCGGGCUCGCAAGAGUUCGGUGCCGCAGUUAACGCAUUAAGUGCUCCGCCUGGGGAGUACGGACGCAAGUAUGAAACUCAAAGGAAUUGACGGGG